rnacentral:rRNA from 1 species
GACGAACGCUGGCGGCGUGCCUAAUACAUGCAAGUCGAACGAGAGCGCCCGGUGCUUGCACUGGUCAAUCUAGUGGCGAACGGGUGAGUAACACGUGGGUAACCUGCCCAUCAGAGGGGGAUAACAUCCGGAAACGGAUGCUAAAACCGCAUAGGUCUUCGAGCCGCAUGGCUUGAAGAGGAAAAGAGGCGCACGCUUCUGCUGAUGGAUGUACCCGCGGUGCAUUAGCUAGUUGGUGAGGUAACGGCUCACCAAGGCCGUGAUGCAUAGCCGACCUGAGAGGGUGAUCGGCCACAUUGGAACUGAGACACGGCCCAAACUCCUAAGGGAGGCAGCAGUAGGGAAUCUUCCGCAAUGGACGCAAGUCUGACGGAGCAACGCCGCGUGAGUGAAGAAGGUUUUCGGAUCGUAAAACUCUGUUGUUAGAGAAGAACAAGUGCUAGAGUAACUGUUAGCGCCUUGACGGUAGCUAACCAGAAAGCCACGGCUAACUACGUG